rnacentral:lncRNA from 1 species
AAAUUCAUGCUCCUAAGGGAGCGCACUGUACGAAUGUUACAUAACUUGCCGGAGUCUUUUCGGACAUACGGUUAUUAUUGUUUAGGCACAUACCGGCUUUUUCAUUCUUUGUCGCAAGGUAGUGGAAGUCCAAAUUGAGCGAGGUGAUUUUGCAGAGAGAGAGAGAGAGAGAGAGAACUUACAUGUGAUGGGCUCGGUGACCACGGAGGAAUGGUGAUGGGAGUGAUAACGAGAAUAAAGGAAGUGGUGGUGAAGUGCCCUGUGUGCCCAAUAAUAUAAGAACUCAACAGGCCCAAUGUGGCAAAUAAUGGUUAUGAUCACUCCUUUGAUGUUCCACAGGGGCAGGUUGGAUCCCCCUGGAAAAUAUAAGCUCCCCAAAUAGAACAAUAUGCCAUUGAAUAUAACCUGGUCAUCCCUGCCAAAUUCCUUAACAAAUAAAUUGGUAGCCCUCAACAGAUAUAGAGUCCUGCAAAUGAAAAUGUUUUAUUUAUAUUUCCCGUGAGACCACAACUUAUAUUUGGUCCUGCACACAAAUAUAAGUUUGAAUGACCCCAAAACCCAGAAAUCGUCUUUAAUGUCAUAUUUUUACUAUAAAAUUGAUGUCAAGAAAUUUCUAUUAAUCAAAUGUCACUCCAAGUUUAACCAUGGAAUGUCCAUUUGGAGAAGUAUCCCAUCCACAUGAUGUGGACGGGGCGGGGUGGUAAUGGUUAAGAUUUCACUAACCUCUAUCUAAUGAGCACAAUUGACUUAAUAUUUGAUUUUUGUUUUUAUUAAAGAAAAUAUUUAUUUGAAUUUUGAGAUGUAGGUUUAUUUCUAUAAAAAUAUUAAAACAUAUGUUAAAUAAAAUUGAAUAAAGCUCCCUAAAAUCAAUAUUUUUAUUCAAAAUGUUUUUUAUUUUUUUAUUUAAUUUAAAAUGAGGCUAAAACCCAAAUUUCAAAUCAACAACAUUUUUAAAUAAAAAUAAAAUUAUUGUUAGGCAUGAGAUAAGGAUGUGUGUGUGUGUACACUCUUCAUCUCAAUAAUCAAUCCCAAGAAAAAAAAAGUUCAAUUUGAAACCUAGAUAUGGUCAAAAUGAGUCCCCUCCAACCACAAAUCUUGACCAUUCAUUUGAUGAAUUCCAAGAUUUUAGCCUUUACAAAUUCAAAAUCAUUUUUUUCUUUUUAACAUUGUUCAUCUAAUGAUAAUAAAGCUAUCUAAAAAAAAUAAAAAAUAAAAAAUCCUUCUAAAGCCAAGAUCUAAGUAUCUUAUCAAAAUGGAUGACAUAUUUUAAUUGGGUUCAAAAAAUACUUUUUAGGUUAUGGNNNNNNNNNNNNNNNNNNNNNNNNNNNNNNNNNNNNNNNNNNNNNNNNNNNNNNNNNNNNNNNNNNNNNNNNNNNNNNNNNNNNNNNNNNNNNNNNNNNNNNNNNNNNNNNNNNNNNNNNNNNNNNNNNNNNNNNNNNNNNNNNNNNNNNNNNNNNNNNNNNNNNNNNNNNNNNNNNNNNNNNNNNNNNNNNNNNNNNNNNNNNNNNNNNNNNNNNNNNNNNNNNNNNNNNNNNNNNNNNNNNNNNNNNNNNNNNNNNNNNNNNNNNNNNNNNNNNNNNNNNNNNNNNNNNNNNNNNNNNNNNNNNNNNNNNNNNNNNNNNNNNNNNNNNNNNNNNNNNNNNNNNNNNNNNNNNNNNNNNNNNNNNNNNNNNNNNNNNNNNNNNNNNNNNNNNNNNNNNNNNNNNNNNNNNNNNNNNNNNNNNNNNNNNNNNNNNNNNNNNNNNNNNNNNNNNNNNNNNNNNNNNNNNNNNNNNNNNNNNNNNNNNNNNNNNNNNNNNNNNNNNNNNNNNNNNNNNNNNNNNNNNNNNNNNNNNNNNNNNNNNNNNNNNNNNNNNNNNNNNNNNNNNNNNNNNNNNNNNNNNNNNNNNNNNNNNNNNNNNNNNNNNNNNNNNNNNNNNNNNNNNNNNNNNNNNNNNNNNNNNNNNNNNNNNNNNNNNNNNNNNNNNNNNNNNNNNNNNNNNNNNNNNNNNNNNNNNNNNNNNNNNNNNNNNNNNNNNNNNNNNNNNNNNNNNNNNNNNNNNNNNNNNNNNNNNNNNNNNNNNNNNNNNNNNNNNNNNNNNNNNNNNNNNNNNNNNNNNNNNNNNNNNNNNNNNNNNNNNNNNNNNNNNNNNNNNNNNNNNNNNNNNNNNNNNNNNNNNNNNNNNNNNNNNNNNNNNNNNNNNNNNNNNNNNNNNNNNNNNNNNNNNNNNNNNNNNNNNNNNNNNNNNNNNNNNNNNNNNNNNNNNNNNNNNNNNNNNNNNNNNNNNNNNNNNNNNNNNNNNNNNNNNNNNNNNNNNNNNNNNNNNNNNNNNNNNNNNNNNNNNNNNAAUAAUUGGUAAAAUAUAAAUUGACCAAAAUACCCCUGAAAAUUUAUUGGGGUAUUUUGGUCAAUUAAUAUUUUAAGAAUUAUUUUUUUUCAUAUUUUUAUUUGAUGCGCCUCACUAAGAUGUACACACGUUUUAAAUUUCAGAUAAUUCUAGUUGGAAAGAGAGUGCAGAGACGUCAAGUAGAAAGUCGAGGUUGUGGGGGAGAGAGAGAGUUAGAGAGAAAUAGAGGGUGCUUGGAGAGAGAAUGCAGAGAGGCUAAGUGGCAAGUCAAUUGGUUUGGGUGGAGGAGAGAGAGUUUUAGAGAGAAAUAGAGGGUUCUUGGAGAGAGAGAUAGGGGAGGCCAGGUGGAAAGGCAAUUGGUUUGGGUGGGGAAGAGAGAGUUAAAGAGAGUUAGAGGAUGAAAACAUUUUAGAGAGAGAGGAAGACAUUAGUUGCCCAUCUCGCGUACUUCGCUAAACAUUCCCUCUUGGCAGCACACAAGCCUGACAUGGCAUUAAUUUCCAUGGGGCGCAUACGUUUUUUAAUGCUAACCCAAGCGGCCGCCCAUCCUGCCAUUGAAACAAUGCUUGGAUAAUCCAGGCCAUUGGCACAGUAUGCAAGAUGGAGUACCAAAUUCUUUUAUUAUCGAGUAAUUUAUCAUUGUACUCAACAAUUUUAGACACUUCUAUACUAUUGUUUUGUAUAUGGAGAAUUUUUUAAUAAGCAGAUAGGAAAAUAUACAAUGAAACUAUUUACUUAGAGAAAUAAGGAGGUUACAAUUAUUCUUAUCCCUUGGAUUUUAAAUUGGUUGAUUAUAAGAGUGUCAUUGAAAAGACUUAAAGUUCAAAAAAUAAUAAUUUCUCAGACUUCGUGGCUAGCCGAAGCCAUCCAAUUUAAAAUCCUUGUAACAAAGAUAAAAUGGUGUCAUUGUAUACAAUCCAUAAACAGAUACUAAAACCAUGAUAUUGAAUUUGAAAUGUUUGCUUACCAGUUUCUUUCUCUGUCAACCUGCUGAAACUCAAGGCCCUUGCUGAGUAUUAUAUGUUUGCUCCUCGCAGUUUGGAAGCGGGAGAGAGAGAUCCAUAACUGGGCAUGAGCCAGUCUGGAUAACAUGAGUGGAAGCAUGAGGAAAUUGGACAAAUCCCUGUUCUUCUCUCCUCCUAAGAAGAAGCAAUAGCAGCUUUGCAGCAUCCAUGGAGCCAGAACCACGUACUUUGCAAAAGAAACAAAAAGAAGAAAAGAAAAAAGAAACAUCGACAUAUCAGACUUCUCGGAACCUCUUACUGUAAUAACUAAAUGAUAAAAGCUCUUAGAAUAAUGCUUUUAGAGUCGCCUAGAGCCAGCUACUGGGCCCUGUCCCAAUGCGAAUUAUUCGAGCGAGUCUGAGUGGGCUGGCUCGGGUAUUGUAGAGGGCCACGAAGCUCUUGAUUUUUUUUAAAAAAUAAAAUAAAAUACUAAUGGUGAAACAAAGCCGAAAAAAGACAAAAAAUAUCCAAAUAAGCUUGAAACUAUAGUUAAAAUAUGGAUUAAAAAAUUGAUUUAUAGUUGCUGUCAUUUUUAAAAAAGAAAAUAUAAAAGUAGGGUAUAUGGUAAGAAAAAUUCACCAAUCUUGUACAAAAAAUCCAAACUACAUAUAAAAAUUUUUACAGGUCAAUUUUAUUUUUUAAAUAGUUUGUAAUGUUUUCUUUUGUUUUUCUUCUUAUAUACCUUGUGUUAUAGGGAAAGGUUUCUAUACUUCCCCGACAUCGUCGAAGAUCUAUGCUUCCCCUACCAUCCAGCCGUCCAAUUUUGAUCAAGUGAACCACUUACCAUUUGAUCUUAAAUCCGACGCGUUAGAGUAUUUUAUUUUUAAAUUUUUUAAUACAAAUUGUAUGAAUAUGAAAUUUGGUACGUGUUAUCUUAUCAUUGGGGUGCACCUUUAAAAAAUAUUAAAAAUAAUUUUUCAAUAAAAUGUAAUGACAAAAAUACCUUUUGAAUCUUUCAAGGGUAUUUUAGUCAUUUUAUUGGAGUUAUUGUUUUUAUAUAUUUUAAAUUGUGAGUUUAAUAGAGUAUUGGACGCCUAAACUUUGGUGUCAAAAUAAUUUAUAUAAAAAAAUUUAAAAUAAAAUAAUGUAGCUACUUGACAUUGUGAUUGACUCUCUAUUAAGAAUGGACGAUUAGAUAAGGAGAAACAUAAAAAGCUUGCCCUGUGUUAUAUAGGGGUAAACGGAGUAACUCUAUUCGCCAAGGCGGUGAGUACGUGUAUGUGUGGACUCGAGUCUAAAAACACCACUUUUAAUGGUCAUUUUAGACAUCUCUUUUUUUAUCGGUUGUUAUAGUAAAAUUAGACCAUACUUGUACCCGAUUGGUUUGACAUGUUACUAUUCAUGAACAGGUGACAAAAUGAAACCCCACUUAUCAAGAAAAUGUCCCUGAUAGGCACUAUUUAGGCCUUUGGUCAAAGAAAAAUGCCUUUCAUUAUCACGAAAAAAGAAAAAGGAAAAAAGAGAUUAUGGUCCGGCUUAUAAGAUAAUCAAAGUGCACCUCAACGAUUGCCCAAAAAUCCAAGUAAACAUAAAGAUUAGACAUGGCUACUUAGCUGCGUUAGUGAAAAUUAUGGUUAAGCAGUUUUAUCAAGGAUAUUUUUGAUAAUUAUGGACGCUUUAAUAUAUUAAAUUAAUGUAUUAUUUAUCAUGGAAUACAUUUUUUGCACUUGGUAAAUAUAUUGACAACGAAAGACAAAUAUGUUAAAUUUUUUAUAAGUCACAAUGUUGACAAUCCUUUCUAAUAUAUAUAAAAAUUAGAAUAACAAAAUAUUAUUAUCAACUUAAUGGCGCUAUGUUACAUAUCUAUUACCAAUUUCUUAAUAAUUGCUCAUCAUUUUACUUACUAAGAUUGGAGCUAUUUUUAGGUAACUUACAUGUUUUUGGGUCAAUAUUUGAAUAUGUUUUUGGGCCGAAUUUUUCUGGUUCACUCAUUGAGAUUCAAAUCUUAUGUUAUGGCAUUUAAAAGCAACAUGAAAGGAAGCAUACUCUACUAUGACGUAGAAAUAUAAAGCUAUCAUUGUAUUUUUUAGGGCAUGUAUAGAUGCACACACUACAACUAAUAAUUUACUAUUUAAAUAUAAUUUUCUAUAAUGAGUCGUCUGUUGUUUGGCAUUGUCUAUUAUAAAAUUGUUUGAGAUAAACUUAUAGGCAUUUUUAUAUAUGACCUUAUCUUUUUGAAAAUUAUUUUUAAUUUAUUCAGAAUAAUUUGCUGAAACUCACAUAAAUUAAGUCAGAAUAGCCAAAAUUAAUUGCAAAUAAGAUAAUCUAUUCGAGAUAAAAACAAUUGUCAGCCAUGCCUUUUAGUUUUAACCAAAUCUUUAUUAACUGUACACUCUCCUUGCUCAUGUGAUCUCCUUAGCACAGCUCCCUCUCACUCUCUAUUUCUCUCUCACUCUUUAUCAAGUUUGAACUAUUUUCUACAUGUAUAUUUUGACGAUGGUGCGGUUUGUAUUGAGCUAAGGCGCUAAAAAUUAAAGUAAAGCACACCUUCAAAUAGUGUUGAGAAAUAUCGUUUCAAUACUGGAAGUAUUUGUGAUAGUCUUAAAAUAUAUUUUUAUCUCUAAUUAUAAAAUUUAAAGCUUCAAAAAUAGUGUAGAUAGAGCAGAUCUAUGAAAAUUUGAAAAUCUUGAAAAUUAACUGUCCAAAAAUGCAUUACAAGAUGCAAAAUCUAUUUUUUUUUUCUCAUGUACAUGCAUCUUGAGGUCGAGAUGAUCGAUUUGAGGAUACUUGGAUAUCAAAACAACCUAUUCUAGUCAAAUUUUUGAGAUGCGCCCUAAUUUAAUUGUUUAGAGCCUCGCACUUGCAUAACAAAAAUGGGUAAGGGCCUAUUUUCCCUAUUAAUUACCCCCAAAAAUAUAUAUAUAUAUAUAUAUAUAUGAAAAGAGAGAGUUAAAGUAUAUACCAGUGCGUUUUGUACAAGGGAGAGAGAGAGGAAUACCUUGAACUUUCCAAGCUUCUCCCAAGGCCAUUGUGUGAGAGGACCAGGGUUGAAUGCCAUUUUCCCUGGACUGAUCCUUUGCUUGUUGGGCACAUAACAUUUUCUUUUUUGAUUGAGGGGUAUUUAAAGUUGCCUGCUUUCGAUUUGGACCUAAGUAUUUGGUAACGGAGCAUGUUCCUAAUAAAUUAAUAGAAAAUGUACCGAAAAUACCUAGUGGGCUGAUAGAUAUAGUGGUCCCCUUUCCCAAUUUUUCUACGUAAUAAGGACACCCAAUUACUGGAAUUCCAUCCAUUAUUGUGUAUAUAUUUGGGUAGAUCCACAACAGGUCACUACAAAGAUAAAUAGAACAAAACAUUUCAAUGAUAUAUAAUUAUGUGGUCCAUCCCAAACGGGUACAUCAACGGUCUCGGCAAGUAGAAAUGUAUAAUCUCAACAAAAACUAUAAUCUUAAGUUUCAAGCAGUGCCUAUGACUCAACCGCGCCCACUCCGCCUAACUAUGAGUUUGGGGGAGAGUUUGGUACCAAUUGUUCCCUAUAAAAAAAAAAAACCCCAAUAAAAUUUAAAAAAAUGUUAAAAAUCCAAAAAAAUUAGAAAUCAAAUAUUACAAAAAAGAAAAAAAAAUAUCCCGACUCAUGAAACUAUGGGUUUUACUCCUUUUUCGACCACUUUCCAAUCACCUGGAUCUUUUUCUAGAGAUUUUCUACCCCAUCUUUCAUUUUUUUUAGCGUUCUUUACGAUUGGUUUUCCCAAAUUUAGGCGAGAAUGAAUCAAUCCUUUCUUGUAACAUAUUCACUAAUUCUAGCGAUACUAUCCCUCGAGUUCUAUCUCCCUCCUUGACACCCCUUCGCAUGACCUCAAAAGGACUUCGAAGUUUCAGUAUUAUAUUUUUAUUGACCCUCUUGUACAGAGAUCAUUGUAGUUGAAGUUUCAGUAUUUUAUUUUUAUUGGCCUUUUUAUAUAGAGAUCAUUAUAGUUUUUUUUUUUCUCUAAAAAACCUAUUUUUCCUUUUUAUCAAAAACUGUAUAAUACCUUCUAUCUUUUGGGAAAACAAGGAGUUCGCAUGGAAAUCUGGGUGCAGCAGGAUAUGGUGGGAUAAUUAGAAAUUCUAAUGGCGAAGUUCUCGUGUUAUGGUGGUGCCUGUGGGGUGGCAACUGCGAAUUGUACGGAGAUGGUGGCUGUGCUUAGAGACAUGCAUAUUUUGUUUAAGCAAUUUAGGCCUUCCAGUGUAUUGUUGAAGAGGAUUCUAUAAAUAUUAUGAAUUGGUACACAAACGAACCGAGAUCACGAUGAAAUUUAAGGAGCAAGUUGAUGGAAGUUAUGGAUAUUAGUAGCCAAUUAACAGUAACUUUCCAGCAUGUAUGCAGGGAGGCAAAUGCAAUUGCAGUCGGUCCCGUAAAUAAAGGAAUUUAUUUGGGUGAUUUGUUGAUUGCCGAAUAUCUUUUUCUGUUAUACCUAUGUACAUUUGUAAUGCUUUUCAAUUAUUAAUGAAGUAAUUGUGCUUUUUCAGAAAAAGAAAAAAAAAGGUUGGCGAUUUUGGCUAUUACUCUACCUAACAAUUUGGGAUCUGAAGGCGAUUUCAUUCCUCCCUGAUUCAACAUAUGCAUUUAUUUCGACUCUCUAUCAGACAAUAUCCUUAAAUAACCCUUAAAAAUAGUCUUUUAUGAACUUGUUAAGCGCAUGAAUAGAUCUAGCUUUUCAAAAAAUCAAAAUCUCCUUUUUUUUUCCUUUCGAAUUCUUCGGAUGGUAACAAUAAGAUAGUCCAUAAAAUUUGGGGUUAAAUACAUCCCCGUAAAAGAUCAAUCUAACACAAAUUUUUUUUUUCCAAAGAUAGAUCACCCAUAUUAAUUAUAUCCUAUCACUCAAAUUAUGUAAUAUGUUAUUCCUUCUAACAGUACAACACUUGUUAGGAGAUGUGAGUUAGUUCAAGUGGAAGACUAAAAAAAGGUAAAGGGUAAGCCCAAAAAGACAUAACUGGAAGCAGUGAUACAAGAUACUGGUACUUAUGACCUUACUAAGGGUAUCACAUUUAAUAGAGCAUAACGACAGACCAUGAUUUGUAUAACCGACUCCAAUUAUUUGAGAAAAGGCUCUGAUGAUGAUGAUGAUUUGGGCAAAUGAUGAAUUGUUGAAGGGAAACCUUAUGACGGUUAGAGAAUCUACUUUUUCAUUUUAUGAACCUUACAAGUAGAUUAAAUGCGGUAUCUCGAAUUCCAUUUAAUGACGAGGUCUUUAGAAACGAAAAGAAAUAAAUAUUGUAAUUUGAACAAUAAGAAAUAUAACGAGGGUUUAAACAUCAUAUUUUCUUAAUAUGGAAGAAGCCUACGGGCUUUCCAGGAGCCCAAAUGGUUAUUCAGGAGUACGAUUUUGAUAAGGGAGUUGGCCAUAAAAUCUUGGAGCACAACUCAGAUAGGAGACUAGUUUUUGCUACGCGAUUUUCUAUGAAGGGUAUCAGGUUUCUCUUAAGAGAUUCAAUAUCUAUUCAUCAAUAUGAAUACAGAAGCUUGUCUUAAAUAAACAAAUACAAAUGAUAAUAAUAAAAAUAAACCACAAACACCUAUACUACAUCUAUAAUAUACCUAAACUUACCAUAAAAUAUAAGAUAUUGUAUUUAUCGUUCUCAUAUAUACCAAUACAAUAUACACCUUCCAAAUUGAUCUGAUAGACAAUAUGUACUUUCUUUUCACAUAUUAAAUCUUCGAGUUCAACUCAAAUAGGAGACUAGUUUUCUUCUACGCGCUUUUCAACAAUGCACAGGAUAUUGACAAGCACUACGUCCUCCUUUAAGCAGGAGCAUGAGAUAGUGAUUAAUGGAGAGGUUUACCUACCUAACUGCCUAGUUAUUAGUUUGUAUUGAAGAAAAGGAAGCAAACGAGUACCAGACUUAGAAAGUGACAAUUAUUUGCACUCUCUUUGUUUCUAAAGAGAAAAAUUGGAGUGGACAGGUACAACUUUUACUGCGUGUUUUGUUACGAAAUAAAGAAUAAACCUACCUAACUGGCUACUUAUUGGUUUUUGUAGAGAUCAACAGGGAACCAACUUAGAAAGUCACAAGUAUUUGCACUCUUUUUGUUUCUAAAGAAAAUCUAAGUAGAAUUGGCCGGUAGAGCUUUUAAUUGGGGCAGCUCUAUGCACCAGUGUUAGAAACCACGAACCAGGAACCUAAUCCGAGUAAGCCGGAACUGUUUCGGGUAACCUGCCCAGGCAGGUCCUAGCGGUGCAAAAAGGGGUUAAACAAAUCCUCAAAAAAUAUCCAAAAAAAUAGAAAGUAUGUUUAAAGUGUAAUUGAAUAAGAAAUUAAAAAAGUAGUGAACAAAUGGAUUUAAAAAAAUCAAUUUGUGCUUAGGAGUAUUUUAGAAAUAACCCAAAAAAGACAAAAAAAAAGAAAGAAAAGAAGUAAACAUGAGUAUUUAGGCCAAAAUACUUUUAAAUAUUUUCAAAACAAUUGAAAAUAUUAAAAAAAAAAAAGUUUAAUAUAGAGCCAAGACCCUAAACUAUAGUUUCUAAAACUCGAUAUGGUUUUUAUCUCUAGUUUCUAAAACUCGAUGUGGUUUUUAUCUCUAAAAUUUUAAUAUGUUUUCUCUCACCAAAAUUUAAAAUUUGAGAUAGUUUCUAUCUCUAAAAAUUUCGAGAUAGUUUUUCUUUCUAAAAAUUAUUAGGUACUUUCUCUUUCUAAAAUUUGAUAUAGUUUCUCUCUCUCUCUUGAUUUUUAACAUACUUUGUCUCUCUAAAAGUUAAAAUUUUGGGAUAGUUUCUCUCUUUAAAAUUUUUGAGAUAGUUUCUUUUUAAAAAAUUUCAUAGGCUUUCUCUCUUUAAAAUUUUCAUAUUUAUCAAAUGUGAAGUUUCGGAUUGAGGGGGCCAACGAAAUUAAAAACAAAAAAAGAAUAAAAUAAGUUUUGGUGUGGAAAUGAAAUUGUAUAAAAGUUAAGUAAUUUUCCACGAUUUAAUUUCCAUAUAAUUUUAAUAUCCUAGCCAUUGAGAAAAUCAAGCGGUGUAUUUCAGUACGGAAAAUUUUUUCAUGCGGGCUGGACCGCAUUUCUACCUAUGCGGUCCGAAAAGUUUAAAGAAUCCAUCUUAAUGAUGGUUCCAAGUAGGUGUUCCAUCUAAAAACAUUGGAAACUAACUGUCCAAACGUUUUCUUACUAGAAUUACUAUUUCUAGUUUUUAAAAUUUAUUUAUAUUUUUAUAUUCAUGAUCUCCAUGUUAGAGAUUGCAUGUCCUUAAAAAUUAAUUCUUAAAAUCCACCACAAAAUUAGAUUUAUUAAGAAGCCCGUAUUUCUACAUAUGCGGGCUUGGCCGCAUAGAAACCGGGUCCGGAUUAUCUGAGAUAUUAAAAAUUCAUCCCCCAAAACCCAUGUGCCCAAAACCGGUCUUAAAGGUUUUCUUAUUUAUCUCGGAUGAUCAUGGAUAUUGACUUUGAGGCAUCUGCCACCCUAAUCACCAGUGCCCCAAUACCUUUCCCUGGUCCAGUAAUUUCACAUGAUAGAAAUCAUCCGUAUACAAAAGUCCCCCUCAGUUAGACCACAUGUGUAUCAAAUUCAAGACCAUGUAUACAAAGUGGUCUCAUGAGGCCUCACUAGCUGCCGUCUUAUUUUCAUUAAAUAAGAUUCAUAUCACUCUAAAGGCUUGUUAACAAGAAGUGUAUUUCUGAAAAUGGGAACUUACCCAAUACUGUUCAUAUUCUAUGUUUGAUAAAAAAGGGAAGUUCAAUAGGGAACUUCAUUUUAUUGUUCAUCUUCCCAUCUUCGCGUGUAAAACAAGUUCCAACCAAAAGGUCGGAACUUGAAAUUGGAACUUUUUUUAAAACCUCACCCUCGAUAACCCUAGGUUCUUCUUCUUCUCUUCUCUUCUGCUCUUCUUCGCUAUCAGCCGCUGAGCACCCCUCUCUUCGCACCACGACCCCUAUCUUCACACUUAGCCCUUGCUAGGGUUUACUUAUCUAUCAACCGAAAGCCGUUGAGCCACCCCUAUCUUGAUGCAGCCAUGCCCCAGCCGAUAGUUCUUGGCUGGGCAAAGAAAGGUCAUAGGACCCAAGAGGGGGCAAUGAUGUAAUAAGGGGGAUUAUUAGGGUUAUUUUAAUUUUUAUGUUAUUUUAUUUGUUUUUUAAAAAUAGGGAGUGUGUAGGGAAAAUUAAGUGGGCAUGAGUUUAUCUUGUGUUUGAUAUUGAUUGAUUGGGGUCGUUAGUUUAGGAAUGUAAAUAGGAUAAGGUUAAAUCUAAUGAGAGUUUUGAAUGUAAAUAGGAUAAGGUUAAAUCUAAGGGAGUUUUAUCUUUUGAAAAAUAGGAAGGCUUUGGAUAAAAUGGUGGGAAGCAAAUCUUUUUUGUACGUGAGGUUAAGAGAUAGGGAUGAGAGAGAAAAUAGAUAAAAUAGAAAAUAUUUAUCUUGUUUUUUUAAGUCUAUUUAAGGGAGAUCUCCCUUCAUUGUAAAGCAGUGAAUGAGUUGAAUAGAAUUUCGUCUCGUGGAUAUAUAGUUUUAGGGUGGAUUUCCAUGCAGAUUUUUGAGAGAUGGUAUAUUCUCUCAACCUUUUUUUUUUAAUUGUUAGUUAACUGGUUUUAUUAUCUCCUUACAUCAAUUGGUAUCAAAGCGGGUUUCGAUGGCUUCAAAAGAGAUACCCCUCGAUAGAUUAAAGUUAUUGACUGAAGUAGUUCAAGCCCUAGCAGAGAGAGUAAACAAAUUCAUGCGCGUAGCUGAGAACGUAGAUGAGUUGUUGCAAAAAUUUGCUCAGUUUCAGGAUGGAAGGAAUUUGGAGGCUGGUGUUGUAACUCAAAGCAACAGAGAUGAAAGAGGUAUGCAUCUAGUUCUUAACCAUCCUUGGGUGGGCCCAGUUAAUGGCGAAUUCAAUGAACAAAUUCUUCAGUUGUUGGAAAGAUAAAGAGAACCUGGAACAAAAAUUGAUAUUCCAGAGUUCCAUGGUCGAUUGCAUGCAUAUAAUUUUCUUGAUUGGCUAAGUAAAGUAGAGAAAGUGCUUGAGUACAGAGAUAUUGCAUGUCACAAAAAGGUAAAAUUAGUAGCCACAAAAUGUUUUGGCCAUGCAUUGGUUUGGUGGGAUGAUUAAAUGUAACAAGAUAGUCUUCGACAAGCCAAUUAAAAAAUUAAUUCGUGGGAAAAGAUGAAGAUGAAGAUGCGUCGAAAAUUUACACCAAUAAAUUUUGCCCGAACUUUGUACUAAAGGUGUCAAAACCUCAAGCAAGGUGAAAACUAUACUGAAGAGUUCUAUAUUUUGGCAUCUAGGGCAUAUUUACAAGAGUAUGAAGAUAAAAAAAUAAGUCGCUACUCGAAUGAGCUAAAUCAAGUCAUUCAAAAUGAAUUGGCCUUCAAAGAUGUCUAUAAGAUGUCUGAUGCCUAUACUGUGACCCUCAAAGCAGAGGAAAUACUCAAUUUGGGCCUUGGGAGAAACAACUUAGUGACAAGAGACACUACUUCAACACAGGGGCAACAAGAUUUAACCUUUAGAAAACCACCUAUGGGGAGUGGAAACCAAAACUCUCAGAGUUUCCCAACUAGGACAAACCCUAAUAAGGGGAGAGGUGGUGUUGGGAGAGGGCUUGGAGCACCUAAAAGUCCUCGUGAUGAUACACAAAUUGUGUGUUUUAAGUGCUAACAGCCUGAGCAUAGAGCAUUCAAUUGCCUUUCACGUCAACCUCUUGUCAAAGUUAACUUAGCAGAAGAAAAUUAUGAAGUUGAAGUCGAUGAAGGAUGCACCUAUGAACGUCAAGAUGAUAUUAGGUCAAACACUUAUUCUUCUAUAAAACUGGACCAAACACUUAUUCUUCUAUCAAGGAUGACCCUAUGAAGUAACUUUCUACACCCAAAUCCACUAAAGAGGAGGGGUUCAAAGUUGCUUAAUAUGCAAAAAAUAAAAAGGGGCAGCAAGGAUAUGGAUGUGAUUUAUGUGUUGCUUGCAAAAGAAAAUUUUACAUCGAUUAUAAUUCUUAGGUCUCUUGAAUCAAAGGCAUUGAGAAAUAUAAAGAUUUGAUGCUUGAAGAAUUACCUGAUGGUCUUCCUCCAAUGAGAAAUAUUCAUCAUCACAUUGACUUGGUGCCUAGUUUUAGCCUACCAAAUUUGGCCCAUUAUCGAAUGAGCCCCAUGGAACAUGAAGAGUUGCAUUGACACGUUGUUGAUUUGCUUAAGAAGGGAUUGAUUUCAGAAAGCAUGUCACCAUGUGCUGUCCCUACAUUACUGACUCCAAAAAAAGAUAGGUCAUGGAGGGUGUGUGGGGACAGUUGAGCAAUUAACAAAAUUAUAAUCAAGUACCGAUUUCUUAUACCCAGGCUCAAUGAUAUUUAAGAUAUGCUUAAUGGAGCCUAUGUUUUCUCAAUGAUUGAUUUUAAGAAGUGGGUACCAUCAAAUUCGGAUUUGUCCUGGGGAUGAAUGAAACAUCGCAUUCAAAACUCGAUAUGGACUAUAUGAGUGGCUUGUGAUGCCAUUCCGGCUUUCUAAUGCACCAAGCACAUUCAUGCACCUAAUGAUUGAGGUACUUUGUUCUUUUAUUGGUAAAUUUGUUGUGGUUUAUUUUGAUGAUAUCUUGGUUUUUAGUUCUAACCCACAUGCUAAUCUUUACCACUUGGAACAAGUUUUUGAUGUGUUAAGGAAGGAAUCAUUUAUUGUGAAUUUGAAAAAAUGCUCAUUUAAGACGGUCAAUGUCGUCUUUCUAGGGUAUAUUGUUUCGUCUGAGGGAAUUAAGGUGGAUCAAGAAAAGGUGAAGGCCAUAGUUGAGUGGCCGGUGCUAAAGUCACUCACUAAGAUGAGUUCGUUUCAUGGCCUAGCAACCUUUUAUCGUCGAUUUUUCAGAACUUUCUGCACUUUAAUAGCACUCGUGACUGAUUGUAUGAGGGUUGAAAAGAUUUUAUGGAGUCUUGCUUCUUAAAAGAACUUCAGUCUAAUUAAACAAAAGAUGAUGCAAGCACCAGUACUUGCCUUACCAAAAUUUUCUAAGGUGCUUGAUGUUGAAACCAAUGCAUCAAAUGUUGUCAAAGGGGUAGUUCUAAGCCAAGAGGGGAGACCAGUGGCCUUCUUUAGUGAAAAGUUGAAUGAAGCAUGUAAGAAGUAUUCGGUCUAUGACCUUUAGUUUUAUGCAGUGGUGCAAGCCUUGCACUACUGGAGGCACUACCUGAUUCAUAGAGAGUUUGUUCUAUACUUAGAUCAUGAAACACUCCAGUAUUUGAGUUUCAGAAGAAGUUGAAUGCACGACAUACUAAGUGGAUGUCCUUCCUUCAAUAAUAUACCUUUUUAUUAAAGCACAAGGCUGGAACUCAAAAUAAAGCAGCUGAUGCUUUAAGUAGAAGGGUAGUGUUACUUCGAACUUUGUCUAUGGAAGUGUUGGGGUUUGAAGUGAUAAAAAACCAAUAUAAAGUUGACUCAAUUUUCAGCAAGCUCUUUGAAAGGUGUGUUGAUGGGCGAGACCCUAUGGGUGAUUAUCUCAUGCAUGAUGGUUGUUUGUUUAAAGGUAUGCGGUUAUGUAUACUUGAUGCUCCCUAAGGGAGAAGAUAAUUAUGGAGCUCCAUGGUGGAGGCUUAGGUGGGCACUUUGGGAAAGACAAAACUAUGACUAUGGUUGGAGAAAAGUAUUUUUCGCCAAGCAUACGAAGGGAUGUUAAUCGAUUUGUGAUCCGAUGUCGAACUUGCCAAGUAUCUAAAGGUCACACACAAAAUACAGGUCUUUAUACACCUCUUCCUGUUUUAGAUGCCCCAUGGGUUGAUAUCUCUAUAGACUUUGUACUUGGACUUCCACGUACCACACAAGGUAUCGACUUUAUUUUUGUUGUUGUUGAUCUAUUUUCCAAAAUGACACAUUUUAUUCCAUGUAGAAGAACUAUGGAUGCUGCACAUAUUGCUUAUCUCUUUGUCAAUGAUAUUGUAAGGCUACAUGGUGUUCCUCAGUUUAUUACAUCUGAUCGAGAUACAAAAUUCUUAAGUCAUUUUUGGCUCACUUUGUCGAAACACAUAAGAACUGAACUUCAAUUUUCUAGCGCUUACCAUCCUCAAACAGAUGGGCAGACUGAAAUAGUGAAUAAGAGCUUUGGUAAUCUCUUGAAGCUUAUUGUUGGUGAUAACAUAUCUCAGUGGGACCUCGUUUUGCCUCAGGCUGAGUUUGCUUACGAUAGGUUAGUAACUCGGUCUACAGGAAAAUCUCCAUUUGAGAUUGUCAAUGGGCGGACUCCUGAUCAUGUGCUGGACCUAGUGCUACGUAAGAUCAGUGAUGAUGUCAAUGCUUUUGCUGAGCAUAUUCGAAAUUACAAGCUCAAAUCAAGAAGAAAAUUGAGGAAAACAAUGCAAAGUAUCGAAAAGCCUUAAAUGAGCAUAAAAGAAAGAUUUUUCAAGGAGGGUGACCAAGUAACAGUGUAUUUGCGAAAGGAGAGGCUUUCAUUGGGAACCUAUAAUAAACUCAAGUCUAAGAAAGUGGGCCUUUGCCGCUUUUGAAGCAAUAUGCGAACAAUGCAUGUAUGGUGAAAUUACCAAAGGCAUUGGAUAUCUCCCCGAAAUUUAAUGUUGCUGAUUUAGUUGAGUUUGAUAGAGACCCUCUAGAAGUCGAAGAAGAAAUAAUUGAUAUAAUGAAGCAAUUACCAAGAAACAAAGAUGAGGAAAUUAAGCAAGUUUUGAAGACUGAAAGCUUUCAAACUCGAAAGAGUUCUUAUUGCCAAUAUCUUGUCAAAUGGAAGGGUAGGUCAUACUUUGAUAGCACAUGGAUUUUGGAGCAAAAGUUCAAAAGGGUGGAUCCAGACUUAUACCGCAUCUAUAGUGAAGCCAACUCAUUGGAGUCAAGUUUCUUUCAACUGGGGGAAAUGAUGUAGCCAUACCCCAACCAAUUGUUCGUGGCUAAAAGGGCCAAGAAGGGUCGUACGAUAGAAGAGGGAUCGGCUGGGCCAAGAAGGGUCGUAGGACCCAAGAGGGAAAAAAAGGAGCAAUGAUGUAAUAAGGGGAUUAUUAUUUUAAUUUUUUAAUUUUAUUUGUUUCUUAAGAAUAGGGAGUGCGCAGGGAUAAUUAGAAGGACAUGAAUUUAUCUUGUGCUUGGUAUUGAUCUAAUGCUAUUUUAAGAAUGUAAAUAGGAUAAGGUUAAAUCUAAUGGGAGUUUGGAAUGUAAAUAGGAUAAGGUCAAAUCUAAGGGGAGUUUUAUCUUUUCAACAUUAGGAAGGCCUUCAUUGUACAACACUGAAUGAGUUGAAUAGAAUUUGAUCUCAUGAAGAGAUUAUUUUAGGGUGGAUUCCCUUGCGAGAGGAUAUAUUCUCUCGACCUUUCUUUUUUUUUAAUUAUUAUUUUUCGGAUUUUGUUUUCUCCCUGCAUCAUCUCUUUUAUUCUUCGCUAUCACCGUUGAGCCACCCCUCUCUUCACACUAUCAAGCAGACCCCUCUCUUCGCACUCAACCCUCACUAGGGUUUAUUAAGCUCUUCUUUAGCUCUUAUCCUUGCUAUUGAGCUCUGAUCCUGACUAUUGAGUAUUGUACUUCUCUUCUCUAUCACACUGGAGGGUCCAAGAAGAUGGAGGAGGAAGCAAAGAGCUCUUAUUCUUUCUAUUUCAUUCAUCUUGAGGUAUGCUAUUGAGCUCUGAUUUUCUUCAUCUCUCUCUCUUUUCCUUGGAUCUCUUCCUUGAGCUCUGAUCCUUCCUAUUGAGCUUUGAUAUGUGUUCUUCAUAUGUUUUUGAGGUAUUUGCGUGCCCCCAACUUCCCUAACCACAGAGAAGAGACCAUCUUGCACCUUCUCUUCUUUGUGCCUACGAGCCUCCUCACAAAGGUAUAUCUCAGUUUUUUCUCUCUCCGCUGGUUUUUUUUCUCUCUCUAUUUUUUUCUGUAUCCCAUGGUUUUUAUUGCUCUCUGAUUUUUUUCUCUAGGUUCUGAACGUGGUAAAAAUGGAUACCAAUUUUUCUCUAUUUUUACAGAUUUUUCAUAAAUGUUUCUAUUUUUUUUGUGUUUAUUUGGCUCAUUAGGUUACUCAGCAUAGACUUUGAUGAGUUGAUUAUGAUUUUUUUGAGUUGCAAAGGGGUGAGUUCUUUCUCCUGAGCUCCAUUUUCAAACAUUAGUCAAAGUAAAGUGAUUCGGUCUUGUGAAAUUUGUUAAUAGAUUGCAUCUUACUUGAGUUAGGCAUUUCAUGUUUUUCUUCUUCAUUUUCAAACAUUUGUGAAAGCAAAGUGAUUUGGUCUUGUGAAAUUUGUUAAUAGAUUGCGUCUAACUCGAGUUAGGCAUUUCAUGUUUUUCGUCUUGGCGUAUUUUGAGUUAAUUUGCCGCAUGUGUAUUAAAAUCAAAGGUUCUUGAAAUGAUUGCAUCUUACUGAGUUAUUUUGAGUUCCUUCUUGGCAUGAUUGCAUCUUACUGAGUUAUUUUGAGUUCCUUCUUGGAAUGGUUGCAUCUUACUGAGUUAUUUUGAGUUCUUUCUUGACAUAAUUGCAUCUUACUGAGUUAUUUUGAGUUCCUUCUUGGAAGGAUUGCAUCUUACUGAGGGAUUGCAUCUUACUGAGUGAGUUAUUUUGAGUUCCUUUCUAGCAUAAUUGCAUCUUACUGAGUUAUUUUGUGUUCCUUCUUGGCAUGAUUAUAUCUUAUUGAGUGAUUAGAGGUUCUUGUUGUUCACUUUUGUUUUUUUUUUUUUUUUUCUUAUUCUUUCCUGCAAAGUGGCCAUAUAAAGAUUCUAUUUACAAUGACUUUAGUUCGACUGUUUUGAGUAAAUAGAUUGAAUAUAGGAUUGGUUUCAGAAAAAUGACAGCAAUUGAUUUCUACUUGUAUAAGAGGUUUGGUUUUCUUGGUUCUGAUAUAUCUGUCAAGAAGGGAAAGUCCUAACCGCAAGGGGAAGGGGAAGGAGAAGGAGAUAUUUUUAAAUCUCUAAGGGAAAGGGAACUCUCGAUCCCACGAUUAUCGCCCUCCACCGAGACCAUAGUGGAGGGAGGGGUAUCACGGUGAGUUAUCCCCCAUAGUGGAGCGAGGGGUAUCACGGUGAGGAGUGGGAGGGAGAGGGGGAGGGAAGGGGAACAACCUUGCGUUAUCCCACCGGUAGAGGGAGGGGGAGAGAGAGGGGACGGGGAGGGGAAUAACGUUCUCUUUAAAAUUACAAUUUAAUUUUUUUUAUAUUUGGAAAAAAAUUAUAUAAGGUUGCAACCUUAAAAUGUAGAAUUAAUACACCUCGAAUAUCCAUCAUAAAAGGUUGUUUGGAUGUUGGAAACCCUUUAAUUGAUCAUCUCGACGUCGAGAUGUAUGAAUAUGAAAAGAAAAAAAGAUUUUGAGUCCGCGAAAUAGUGUAUCUUACAAAACAUUAUCUAGACCAUCUAUUUUCAAGAUUUUCAUGUGUUUAUGGAUCUAUUUGAUUUGAACCAUUUUUAGCGUUUAAAAUUUUAUAAUAAGAGAUAAAAAUGGAUUCUCAAGCAUGAUAAAAUUUAGAGGCGUGCCUUAAUUAAAUUGCUUAAGGUUGCGCCAACCUCGCCCUUUAUAUUUUGAUAGGACUGAUCUUUAACUUAACCGAUUUCAAAGGAAAGUUGUUUUAUUACUUUGGAUUUUGGAUUUUAAUGGUGAUGAUGACCUCUUGUUAUUUCAGGAAACAUUAGGCUAUCAUGUCAGAGACUAUCUUGUCAGAGACUCAAUUAGGCUAUCUUGUCAGAGACUAAAUCAAAUCUUAAAAAAAUUACUUCAAAAGUUACUGCUACUGCUAAUAUUUAAAAACACGCUCCGGCGCAAUCAAAUCUUAAAAAAAUUACUUCAAAAGUUACUGCUACUGCUAAUAUUUCAAAAAACGCUCCGGCGCCGCGCCUAGGGAAUCCACGGAUUUAAAAAAGGCUAGGAACGCUAGGCCAACGCCUAACCUUAAACACUCCGUAAUUUAAAAAAAACAAAAAAUAUCUAUAAUUUUUAAAAAAAUAUAUCCAUAAUUUAAAAAAACAAAAAAUAUCCACCCAGGUACAUCUGCUUAAGUGGGCACUCCGUAGUUUAAAAAAAAAACAAAAAAUAUCCACCCAGGUACAUCCUGGCUGUGUGGGGGCCCCGUAAUUUAAAAAGCUCUGAAAUUUAAAAAAAAAACUAAAAAUAUUCUCCCUGGCCCACCCAGGUACCGUCGAUCAUCUAGGUACAUCCACCCCGCCCAGGUGCCCAAGCGAUACCUGGCCGACCCAGGUACUGCCUGGGCGCUCGUCUAGGUACAUCCGUUUAGUUCAACUAGAUACUGCCAGGGCGCUCGUCCAGGUACCCCCAGAUCACCCGUCCAGGUACAUCCGCCUGGCCCACCGGGUACCGNNNNNNNNNNNNNNNNNNNNNNNNNNNNNNNNNNNNNNNNNNNNNNNNNNNNNNNNNNNNNNNNNNNNNNNNNNNNNNNNNNNNNNNNNNNNNNNNNNNNNNNNNNNNNNNNNNNNNNNNNNNNNNNNNNNNNNNNNNNNNNNNNNNNNNNNNNNNNNNNNNNNNNNNNNNNNNNNNNNNNNNNNNNNNNNNNNNNNNNNNNNNNNNNNNNNNNNNNNNNNNNNNNNNNNNNNNNNNNNNNNNNNNNNNNNNNNNNNNNNNNNNNNNNNNNNNNNNNNNNNNNNNNNNNNNNNNNNNNNNNNNNNNNNNNNNNNNNNNNNNNNNNNNNNNNNNNNNNNNNNNNNNNNNNNNNNNNNNNNNNNNNNNNNNNNNNNNNNGAGGACCCGUCCACGUACAUCUGCCUGGCCCACCUAGGUACCGCCUUGGCGUUCUUUCAGGUACAUCCGCCUGGCCCACCCAGGUACCGCCUGGGCACCAGUCCAGGUGCAUUCGCCUGGCCCACCCAGGUACCUCCUGAGUGCUCGUCCAGGUACAUCCGCCUGGCCCACCCAGAUACCGCUUGGGCUCCCAUCCAGAUACAUCUACCUAGCCCGUCAGGCGCCUGUCCAGGUACAUUUGCCUAGCCUGCCGGGCGCCCAUCCAGGUACAUCCGCCUAGCCUGCCGGGAGUGUCCAAAAUCCGCCUGCAGACGCCGGGUGCCACAUCCGCCUAGCUCGCCGGGUGCCCAUCCAGGUACAUCCGCAAGCUCGCUCAGUGCUCGUCCAAGUACAUCCGCCUAGCCUGCUGGGCGCUCGUUCAAAAAUCCACUUGCGGAUGCCAGGUGCCACAUCCGCUUAGCCCGCUAAGGCGCUUGUCCAGGUACAUCUGCCGAGCCCGCCUGGGCACCUGGCGUCCUAGCCGGCCGGGCGCCCAUCCAGGUACAUCCGCCUAGCCCGCCUAGGCACCUGGCGUCCGCAGGCGGAUUUUUGGACGCUCGCCCGCCAAAAAAUCUGCCUUGCCCACCUAGACCCAAGGUGGAUGGGUCUUUUAAAACAUGUGGAUUUUUUGACGCCCGCCCACCUAGACCCAAGGUGGAUGGUAAACAUUGGUUACUGCAAGCUCACUCUAUCACUCUUUUAAAACAACACACUCUCUAACACACUCUAUCACUCUUUUAAAAGACUCUAUCACUCUUUUGCCCGCCGCCUAGACCCAAGGUGGAUGGGUCUUUAAAACAUUGGUUACUGCAAGCUCACUCUAUCACUCUUUUAAAACAACACACUCUCUAACACACUCUAUCACUCUUUUAAAACAAUACACUCUAUCACUCUUUUAAAACAACACACUCUAUCACUCUUUUAAAACAUUAGUUACUGCCAAGCUCACUCUAUCACUCUAACACAUUCAAAAGCUAAGCUUUCAUAGGCGUGCCUUCUUACCAUCUAUGCAAAUUCAUUGUCUUUGCACAUUUAAGCCCUUAGCGCUUAGUGCGUAAUUUCUUCUUACCAUUUGUGCAAAUUCACUGUUUUUGCACAUUUAAGCUCUUAGCGCUUAGUGCUUAAUUUCGUUUUUUGCAUAUUUAAGCCCUUAGUGCUUAGUGCUUAAUUUCUUUUUUUGCAUAAUUUCUACGCUUAUGGGUUUAUGAGAAUGGGAACAACAUGAUAUGAUUUAUUAUUAGGGAUUUAUUAUUUACACAUUUAAUCCCUUAGCGUUUAGUGCAUAAUUUCUUCUUACCAUCUGUGCAAAUUCAUUGUUUUUGCACAUUUAAGCUCUUAGGACUUAGUGCUUAAUUUCAUUUUUUGCAUAUUUAAGCCCUUAGCGCUUAGUGCUUAAUUCUUUUUUUGCAUAAUUUCUGCGCUCAUGGGUUUAUGAGAAUGGGAACAACAUGAUAUGAUUUAUUAUUAGAGAUGGAAUGCUUGAUGGAAUACACUUAAAGGACAAAGGCUUAAGGCAUAGAUUGGGAACAACAUGAUAUGAUUUAUUAUUAGGGAUGGAAUACUGCUUAUGGAUUUAAACUUAGGGAUGUGAGUGUCUUACCUCACAUCCAAUGAGUCUCUUGGAGAGAGACUAAGAGAGCUACUUGAUAUUUUGAUAUUUUUGUCCAAAACUCGUUCCUGAACCGUCAUACCAUAACCAAAUUUAUGUGUACUUUUUUUCCGAUUUAGUCUAUGCAAAUAUCUCAAUUAACUCCUCAUUUUUAUGGACUUUCCUGCAGUAAAAAAUACCGUGCUCAUGGAAGCCAGCGAGGUUGAUGCUGCUACUAGAUUCCAACUUGAUGCUGCUAGUAGAUUCCAACUUGAAACAACCGGUUGCGUGGAUCCCAGUGUAAAUUUGGGAAGAGACAUGAGAACAAAUUAUCUUCAAUUUGUGCACAACGCAGGCUUGGGCAGAGAGAUGAGAAGUAAUGAUUCUCAAAACAUGUUUAAUGCAGCAAACAUGAUUCGUGAAAACCCAACCACCAAUAACCUUCAAUUCAUGCACAACACGGGCUUGGGCAGAGAGAUGAGAAUUAAUGAUUCUCAAAACAUGUUUAAUGCAAGCAUGAUUCAUGAAACCCCAACCAUCACAGGACAGACUUUGCCUAGAUGCAUUAAAGUCCCACCAACCCUACACAUUCCACCUCCAACUUUGGCUAUCCCCAACUUUGAAGUUCCAACAAAUGGUACCCAUGGGUACUCUUAUUCGUACUCAGGCUAUGGUAAGAGGGUCGAAUCGAACCAUGCUAGCAGUUACCACAUAAACCAUCCUGGCAGUGGGGCCCAUGCCACCUAUGGUGGAAGCAGGACCCACUCAAGUUUUCUAGACCUUGCCGGUUAAGACCACAUGAGCUAUGAAAGUGGAGCCCUCACUGCCUACACUAGUGGGGCCCACCAAGCAAGCUACAGUGGGGAGUCAAGUAAUUAUGAAAAUGGUUUUAUGCAAAGUUAUCACAGAACGGAGGAAGGAAACAUGGGAUACUCCAUGAUAGGAAGCAGGGGAAAGUUCUAUGGCGACAAUGCAGCCCACAGAAUCUACACCAAUGGGGCCCACCAAGCAGACUAUAAUGGGGCACCAGGUAACAAUGAAUGGUCUCCAAUUAACAAUGGAAAUCAUUUCACUCUAAAAGAUUUUAGAUGGAGGAAGGAAACAAGGGAUUAUUGUAUAGCCAGAAUCCUAUGAUAGGAAGCAGUGGAGACCUAGGUAGCCAGAAUCCCAUGAUAGGAAGCAAUGGAGACCUGAAUCCUGUGAUACCAUUAUUUGAAAAUGGCUCUGUGAAAGCCGAAUUCGUCCAAGGAGGUUCAUUUGGAUUUCCUCGUAACGACUCACUCGAUGACAUUUGCUCUGGGAUGCUUUAUGAUCAGGAUGAAGAUUUCAAGAUUAUGUGAAUUGAGCACAGUUGUUAUUGCAAUUGGUCUCAUUCUUUUCAUGGUUAGAUUCAUUUUAAUGGUGGGUUUGUGAUUCUAGGGCUUUUUGAAGGUGGUUAAAUUUGUUAGUAUCUAGUGUUGCAUCAAGCAGCCCUUGAAUAACCCAAAAAUGGAAGUCUUUAUUUAAAAGGGAGUUUCAUCCCAAAGAUUUGAUGGGUUUGGGAGUUUUACAUUCACAGACAUUGACAGGGCUAUGAAUAAGUUGUUCUGGUAUGAAUAUCUUCCAAAAUUGAUAGUUGGAAGGCCGAGUAACACCGAGUUGUGUAUGCAACUCAGGGUAUAUAUAGAAAAGAAAAACUUUUAAAAUUAAAAAUUGUAAUAUGCUAUGUAGUUUUUUUUCAUAUGAUUUGGAUGUUUCUAGCAAAGAUUAAUGAGUGGAUGUUCUAGCAAAGAUUAAAGAGUGUUUUUUCAUAACAUCUAUUUUUCUAGAUUGUGAACAAGCCAUUCAAUUGAUCCUACUCAUUAAUAUCGUAUAUACUAAAGUACAAAUAUAUCCAAGUAUACAUAUAGAAUUUAAAGUACAGCUACCUCUCAACAUCGCAAAUAGUCUAACCAUUCAGUAAACAUAUCCUAGUAUACACAUAGAAUCAAAAGUACUGUAGGUAAAAUUGAAAUUUUUACUUAAAAAAAAAUAGAGAGAGCAUCACAAAUAGCCUAACCAUGAGAAGCAAACAUAUCCAAGUAUACACAUAGAAUUAAAAGUACCCAAUCCAUAAAAAAUAAUAAUAGAGAGAGCAUCACAAAUAGCCUAACCAUGAGAAGCAAACAUAUCCAAGUAUACACAUAGAAUUAAAAGUACCCAAUCCAUAAAAGAUAAAACUGAAAUUUUUAUUUAAAGAUAGAGAGAGUUGUGAACAGUGGAUUUACUAGUUUUGUAGUAUUUUUUUUAAAAAAAAACUAUUUGUUUUUGUGAUAUCUUCAUCAUUAAGUAAGGGCAAUUUUGUAAAUAUCACUACAAGACAAAUGGUAUGUUCGUCAUCUCUAUAAAAGGUAAAAUUGAAAUUUUUAAUAAAAGACAUUGUCACUUUACAAAUAAACUUUCAGGACAAUAACUUCCAAAAUGUCAUUGUACUUUUGUAAAAAUUUCAAAUUCGCCCUUACUUAAUGGUUAAGAGACUUAACCAUUAAGUUACCUAUUAAAUUAAGCAAGGGCAUUACAAAAGUACAAUGAAAUUUUGAAAGUUAGUAUCUUGGAAUUUUAUUUGUAGAGUGCCCUUGUUUUUUAGUAAAAAAUUCAAUUUUACCCUUUAUGGAGAUGACAAAAGUACCCAUUGUCUUGUAGUAAUAUUUACAAAAUUAUCCUUAGUUAAUGAUGAAGCUAUCACAAAAAGUAAUUUUUUUAAAAAAAUAGACUACAUUAAAUCUACCUUUCACAGCUCUUUCUAUCUUUAACCUUUGUAAUGUGAAUGGUUGUGAAGUUUAGAUUAUAUAUAUAUAUAUAUAUAUAUAUAUAACAUGACAUUUCAAUAUAUGUAUUUUUUAUUUUUGGGUGGGUCCAAUCUGGUCUGGGUCUGGAUUUUGAUGGCAUAAUUGUUUUUCAUAAUUGUUUUCUAGGCAGGACCCAAACUCGACCCGACCCAUUGCCCCUGCUACAAAAAAUCCAAGAUCUAAGGCCCAAGGAUUAGGCCAGGUCCAAUAAUCCAUGUGCGGUCAACGAGCAGGUCCCACCCAGCCCUUAGUCUGGGUAGUCUGAUCCUAUAGGCCCAAGGCCCCACAGCCAGGUUAUAAGAGUCAUGCGUUGACUUUUUAAUUCUAGGUCUCUUAGUAAGGGUAAGGGGUUUGAUGAAUUAGCCGAUGAAAAUUGCCAGAACUGAUCUGGUCCUUCUUUAUUUUCAAUGGACAUGCAUCAUUCCCUUUUGUAAGAAGACCUUUAAUUCAGUUUCCAAACAGAAUUAGGGUUUGAGUGUAUUGCUCAUGUGAAUUAGGGUUACAUGCAUUUUCUCUUUAAAAAUUUAUCGUCUGCAAUUUCUUCCCAAAACUUUUAUCAAUAUUUUAACAGGGACCAAGAGAAAAUGGGUUCAAAUGGGGUAGAGCAGAUAUUGUUCUAUUCCGCGUUGCACAAACCAAAUCUUUUUCUAUUUAUUAAACUUGGAAAUCCAAUUUAAAUUCACAUUGAGAAUCAUUCUUGUUAUUAAACAAGAAGAAGACAACUUUUAUGAAAUAUAUAUAUAUAAAAAGAUAUUCGAGAAGGAAGCCUUUUUCCAUCAAUUUGGUGCAUUUUGCCAAAUAACUGGAGGAAUCUGCUAUAUGGUUGGAAAGAAGAUUUGAGAUGCAAGAUAAUAAGGAUGCAAUUUUAGGUCUGAGUAAAGAUAAGGCACCGGAGGCAUAUGGUUUUCCAUUGGCAUUUUUUCACAACUUCUGGGAUGUCCUAAAAGAAUAUUUGUUUGUACUAUUGGAGGAUUUUCAAUGCUAUAGGGAAGAUUACUUUGGCCAUAAAUUCUACCUCCAUUGCUUUUGUUUUCAAGAAAACAGUGAUUGAACAAGUUAACGAUAUCAUACCUAUUAGUUUUCUGGGUAGUUAAUAUAAAUUAAUGAAAGUAGUAUUAGCCAUCAGACUAUGAUAGGUGCUUCAUAUAGUUAUAGAAGGCCCUCAAUCAAUAUUCCUUAAAGAUAGAAAAAUUAUGGAUAGUAUCCUAGUUGCGCAAGAAUGUAUCUAUUCUAGAACUAAAGAGCGCAAGCCAGAUCUCAUUUGCAAACUGGACAUAGAGAAGGCAUUUGACAAAGUUGAUUGGCAGGUGUUUUACAAAAUUAUGGUCUGAAUGGGCCUCCAAUCGAAGGUGGAGAUUAUGGAUUUUGGAUUGUCUCUCUUCUAUUCACUUCUCUAUUUUGAUUAAUGGGAAAGCCUCUGGUUCCUUUAAAGCUUUGAGAGGAUUAAGGCAAUGAGACCCAUUAUCAACUUUUGCUUACACUACUGUAGUUGGAAGUUUUAGCGUUAUGUUUAGAUAUGUGGUGGACUGAGGACUAUUAUGGAUUUCAGAUUGUUACAAUGGCUUAAUGGUGUCACACUUGGAAUAUCUAGACGUCACCAUUAUCUUUUGUAAUACAAAAGAGGGGGAAAUAAAAAAUCUAUGGAUUUUUCUGAAAUACAUGGAGUUGGUCACGGGUCUUGAGGUUAAUUUUUCAAAGACCUAUUUGAUUGGAAUAGGGGGGUGCGCAGAAAACAUGGUUGGAAUAGGGGGGUGUGCAGAAAACUUGGUAAAACAUUUGGCGAGGGUCUUAGGUUGUGAAGUGGAGAACUUGCCUUGUAAAUAUCUGGGAAUUCCAUUAAUGGAUGGUCAUCUUUCUCACUCUAUUUGCGAUCUAACUAUCAAGAUAUUUAUUAAGAAAUUAGACUUGUGGAAUUCAACGUGCCUUUACCUAUAGUGAGAGUGAAGUUAAUUAAGUCCACCUUCUGCAACUCAAUUGUUUAUAUAGCUUUGUUUAGCAUGACUAGACAGGUUGCGAGGGGGUUGGAGGGUAUCAUGAGAACAUUCUUACGAGGGAGGCUAUGACAAUUAAAGGAAGUUACAUUUAUCAAAUGGGAUCAAUGUUGUGCUAUUAUAAAAAGAAGGAGGACUAGGGGUAAGGAAGAUCAAAAUCAUGAAUUCCAGCCUUCUCAUAAAAUGGUGGUGGAGAUAUCAUGAAAUAACCGGUCUUUCUGGUGACUUGAUCUUAAAGAAAAAUAUGGUAUUUAUAAGACAAAUGGUUUAAUCAAAUGCCCAAGUAAUAGGUCAUCUUUGUCUACAGGUUGGAAGUGGAUCGACUAUUGCAGGCCUAUUUACCUUCCACAACAUCACACGAUACACGAUGGUGGGAAAUGGAGAAAAUAAGUUAUUUUGGUAUGACAAAUAGUUAGGGGAUUUAUCUCUGCGUUACCUCUUCCCUGAGGUCUUUUAAAAGGUAGUAAUCCUUCGUUCACAGUCAUGGAGAAAAAAGGGGUGAUGGAGAUAAAAGGGGUGAAUAGCUCUAAUGGGGCAUGGUAUACCCCUUGUAGAUAUGUGAAGAAGAAGAUUGAAAACAUGCCCUAAUAUUUUUACGAAGGACUGCUCGAUUUGUUCUGUUGUGUGCCAAGCUGAGCACAGCUGCCCCUGCUCAGCUUGCCGGGGUAUAAAGGGUAAGAUGGAAAAGAUUCCCAUAAUUUUAUAAAUAGCCCAAUAAUAUCCCAUUGUAUCUUAUUUGUAACAACCCAAACAUAUACGUUUGUAACUAAUUAGCAGUAGGCCGUUAUUGUCCCAUUGCCACUAAUUCAUAAGAACGGGCGACAAUGAGCAUUCUUUCCUAUCACCAUUGUCUAUGCUCAAAGUCAAAGAAUCUUUCCCUCGCGAGCAUUUUCAAAUAUCUGGCACACCCUAGUUGAAAGUAUUCAUGACUCUAAAUGUAACAACUAUUCAUGAACCUAAAUGUAACAAUUUCUUUUUUAUUGUUUACAAACCAACGAACAAAUUAUCAUUGCUCAUUACGAUAAUGAAAAACUUUCUAUGUAUUUUGAACUAAAACAAUGGCAAUAAGCACCAGGAGACAAGUUUUUCUAAUAUAAUUUAAAAGAAAAAAAAAAGGAAAAGAAAAGAAAAGAAGGUGUACAAAAAUCAAUCCGUAAAAACAUUUGUUAACUAAUAAGGGAUAAAAAAUAAAAUUAGCAAUGUAAUGCUCACUAAUUGCUUCUCAUAUUAUACUUAAGUUUUGAGGUUCUUUCCAUUAUUGUAGAAUACUUAUGAAGUAGAUGAUAAGAGAUAUCCAUACACUAACACUAUCUCUCAAACUCAAGAUGUUUCUCCACAAAGCAGCAGAAGUUUGAACAAACCUACUUUUACUUUAUGGCACAAAAGGCCCCUAUUAAGGUUGUGAAUUAUGGUCGCUGUCAAAUGGCAGGAAACCUCUAUUUAGAGCAGAGGACCAAACUUUUUCUGGAUCAAGCAUUGUGUCCCCACAUUCGUGUGUCGCCCAUCCUUCCAAGGCGUUCAAAAUCCCACCAACUCGCCAUGCACUCAUCACCCUCCUUGGAAGCCAAUUCUGCAUUACAUAUACACAGACCAUAAGAAAUGACAAGGAAAUUUCACUAAUGUGAAUUUUUUUUGAAAAUGAGUACAAAUUGAUAUAUUAAAAUAGAUAAUCCAAGUGAUUGUAGUGCGCGGAAGCUCUAAAUCCGACAGGUUGAUUUUUUGACAAAUAAAGUACGAGAAGGGCUACAUCCAUGGGCAUGGCAAACUGCAAUCCACUGUACGAAAUGAGAUUUUGGAACAAACCUCGGUAAAAAACCCAAGUCGAGCAAACAUUUUUAAAUCACUAUCUCUUCCUUCUCUUUACUUCUGGCAACCAUUACCAGCAACACAAGAUAGAGACGCGAGAACAACGGGAAACUGACUUUUUCUAUGGGAACCGCUUCUCUACAAGAAACAAACAAACCUCUCAAUCUUCGGAAGUCUAAAAGAGGCACCAUCGCAAUAUCUAAAUGAAGCUUUCUUCUCUCUAAGAGGAAAUUGCAUCUUAUGCACAGGAGGCUCUAGUUCCCUCUCUCUCUGCAGAGGAACCACCAUUCUCAUAUGGUGACCCAAAUAGGGCACAUAAAUUCUCUGCACUUUCAUCCCAUCUAUAUAAUAUUUGGAGUCCAUAGUAAAUAGGAAAUUUUCUAUUUAUGUUACAGAUAUCUCAAUACCAUGAGAUAAAUCCAAGAGUCCUAAUCUUUUCGGAUUAUAUUUCCUUUAGGAAACUUAUCAAUAUAAAUCUCAAUCCCAUAAAAUAUAGGAAUAUCUCAAUCCCACAUAGUAUGAGAAUAUAUCAAUCAAUACCACAAAAUAUGAGAUUUCCUUACAUGCACCAAAUCCAAUAGUGGUCUAGCAUUCUAAAUUAAAUGUAAGUUGUGCUACAAAUGUAAUGUCUUAUGAUGGGUUUGGCAACACACCAAAACUUUACUAUGUUUAAAUGCAAAAUUUGCGUCCUUAAACCACAAGAUUUUUGGUUGUGGUUGGAGUGGUGGUGGGGGGAUUGUAUGGAAUUGAGAUGUGAAUGUGUAAAUGAUGGUCAGCGCUCAAAGAGAGUGGUUUGAAAAGUACAGAUUAAUCACAACCAGUCAAGUGAUAUAGAUUUAGAGAGCUUAUUUUGAAGAUCGUCAACUAGGUACUGAUCGACUAUUUUGGUUCAAAACUAAGAGCAUUGAUAGCUACUUGGUUUCUUGUGACCUCCUUGUACUAAAAGUACAUAAGCUUGCUGUGUAUAUUUCCUUUAUUUAAUGAAAUCAAAUGGAAAACUUUUGAAAGAUAUAAAGUGUUGAAACCGCAUAUAUGGACAACAUGAGAAAGAUUAAUCAUUAUAUGGCCUUUUUUUAAUAAUAUUUUGGCCCAUAUCUUUCAAUCAGAAUUUCGGAUUUGAUUUUUCUUGGACCAUGAGUGUUCUUACCAUCUAAUUUAAGAUGGUUAAGGUCUUUGGAUGAUUUGGACAAGUUUCAAGGGUUUGGUGGGAUACUCUAAGGUGUCAAUCUAGGUCUCAUAGGGUAUAUUCUCCAAAGGAACGGUCGGAACUUUAGGCGGUUGUAAAGGGGAUACGAAGAAAGGAGUCGAUUAAUGGUGGUAUUGACGUCGAAAACUACUCAAUCGGAGAUAAAAUUGGGGUGAAAAAUUUGAAUUGUUACCUCACAAGCGUGCAUGUUCUCCAAGUUGGAUGGUACUAUCAUGGCUGGGGUGGACAAAUAAAUGCAGUCCUUGCGCAUUAUCUUGAGAGGGAACUGUGAGAAAGGAAUAAAGAUUGUACCCCUGAGGGCCUUUUUCUCAUUAUUCAUUCUAUCUCCCACUAACCAUACCUGCAAAAACAUUAAUCUUCAUAAGCUGUGCUCAAUUUGGCUCUGUAUUUAAGAAGAACUACUAUUAAGGCUUUUGUCAGUGUACUGCUAUAUAUCAGUAUAUUCUUACUAUACUCAAUAUUUUCUUUGCACUUAAUACCCUUACCUCAUAGUUAAUAGCUUUUUUGUCUAGGGGUAUAUUAGAUAAUUAAUCAUGAGUAAAAUAGAAUUUUUGAUAAGAAAAAUAUUUAUUAAUUAUAUUGCCGAAUUAUAUCAUCUAUAUGAGGUGUGACACCACCCGCAUGGAACAAUUAUUUAUUUUUAACAACUAAUAAAAUACCAUUUCUACGCAUCUUAAUGAUGAAAAAUGCGCUUUUGAAAAGUUUUAUGGUACAAAAAAAAAAAUACAAGGUGUCCAAAAGUAUUCAGUGCAAUAAAAAACUAUUCGUCAUAAUACCCUAACAAAACCUUUCUAAUAUGAAAAUUUUGGCUCUAUAAUUUGGUGAAGUUACAAAAAUAUGGGUGUCGAGCGAUGUUCGAGUUUGGACCACCCUCUUAGGUGUAAGUAUAAUAGUGUUGUUCUAUCAUAUGGUUAAAAGUUAAAACAAGUUCACAUGUGCUCGUGCUAUUCAUGUUUAGGCCCUAUUUCGACACAAACAUGUUGCGAAAGUAUUCAUAGACAAGUGGAAUGAAAGAAGCAAUAGAAUUUUCAUUUAGUUCCUUUCGUUUGAAUUUUACCAAACUUGAGUUAAAAUUUUUGGUUUAACCAAGGAAUCUAGCUGCUUCUUUUAAUAUUGGAACAUAAUUUUUGUCUCCAUUUCCGGAAUCUAGAAAAGAAAAUAAGUAAAUUCUUGAAGGUAAGGAAGUGAACCCUUUACGGUCCCUGGCCCCCACAAGACAGGGGCUCAGCCAUGCGUAAAUAAAUAACUAAAUAAAAUAGGAAAUUCUUUUCUUGAGUUUUUAUGGAACAAAAAUUAUGCACCAAGAUUUAUUGUCUCCUAAAUGAAGGAGCACGAAAGAUCAAGAAUUCUGUCACAAGAAAAUAAUAAUAAUAAAAUAAUAAUAAUAAGAAAAUAAUAAUUAUAAAAUAAUAAUAAGAAGAAAAUAAUAAUAAUAAUAACAACAACAACAGUUAGAUGUAUAUAUCAAAAGGUAGCAAGCACAACAACAACAACAAUAACAAUGAGAUGUAUAUAUCAAAAGGUAGCAAACAAUGUUUUGGUCGAUACCUUGCAAUGACAUCCGGGAGCAUGAAUAAGAUUAGCUUGAUGUUGUAUGGAGAUUUGCAUUCUCAAUUUUUCAAGAUGAUCAGGGCACUCAGUAAUAACCUAUAUUCCACCAUUAUAAGCAAAAUCUGCUAAGUUUGUAAAUUAUGAGAAAAACAAAAAACAAAAAACAACGAAUGCAUAAGACUUUAUGGGAGAGAAAAAUGGACUUACACACAGGAUUUAACUCGAACCUAUGAAUUUAAUACAUACAAGAUUAAAGAUUAAGUGAGAAAAAUUGAAACCUUUGUGCCUCUUCUGCACAAGGCCAUGGCAACGGCAUAGCCUGUCUUUGAAAGGGGACCUUGGAUUAAGACUUCACUUGUGUUUGGAGGAAUUGAGUUUAGUACGCAUGCAGCAGCAAGUGUGCAUCCAUCCACUAGCUUAAUUUUUAGACCCUUGAGCUUCUCAAAAUAGAGCUCCCCAUUUGCAUUCAGAGUUUCAUCCUGUGUUUCAAUCAAUGACAUGAGUUAGAGAGAUCUCUUCUUCCACCAUAUGUUUUUUCCAUUACCAUAUUCAAUGUAAUAUGCGAUAAACAAGAAGGACCUCACUUGAUUUAGAAGCCCUAGACUUAGCACUUUCACACCCCUUUUUUCUGCCUCAAUUAUGGCAUCCUCUAUCAAUUUGUUGAUUGCUUCAUGUUGUGAUUUCAAGGAAUACUGCUUGUCAAAACACAAUUGAAAGUUAACAGCCGUUCCAUUAGUUGAGACUAACAUAUAUAUGAUGUUUUAUAGUAAUAUCACCUUUCAUUGUGUGAAAUGGACAGGAAAUGCUUUUGCAAUGCUCAAGUAAUAUGAGAAUAAAUAUUCGAACGGAUUACGAUGGAAAAUCUUUGUCAAUCAAUUAGUUUCUUUUCAAUGGCUUGCAAUUGUCUCCUAUUAAAUAGGUAUAGGAUUAUAUAAGUCCUAGUCCUUAUUUUAAAAAAAAAAAUAUGUAAAGCCGCACUUCAAAAUCCUGCCUAAGAAGGUUGUUAUGAUGAUAGAAACCCCUCAAAUCGAUAAUUUUGCAUCGAUAACCAUGGAUAUGAAAAAAAAUAGAUUUUAUAUUGUAAGAAUAGUGUAUCUCGUAACAUAUUACCUAGAUGGUUCAUUUUCAAGUGUUCACGAACUGCACAACUUUUUGAGCUUUUUUGUUACAUAUUGUGCAGCAGAAAUCGAUGUUUUCCCCAUCAUAUUACAGUAGUUUUCCUAGACUACAAAGAAAGUCAAUUAAUUGUUUGAAACAUACCUUUUAUCAUUAUAUUGUUAGCAUAGAAGAACUCAUAAAGAAGAUGCAUCACCUGGAAGGUAAACCUGGGAAUUGCCCAUGUUUGAGUGUUGAGUUUCUCCAAUCUGUUCUUCUCCACGGUGAACGUACGAUCGAAAAUCCACAUUAGUGACAUUAAUCCAACGGUGAUUGGCCAAAGUAACCAUAGAUACCAUUUGCGAUCUUGGGGUUGGGCAGCCAAACAUGCAAAUCCUAGGCGCAUUUGGUAGAUGGAGUGAAGGGUAGUUGGAUGAGUGAGAUGGACAACAUCUAUGGCCUCCUCUCUCCCCUCUAUAGCACUCUCAUAUACCGCAUCUGUAGACUUGUCAACUGUAUUGUAUAUGUAAUCAUAUAUUGGCAUGAAGAGAGAAAAGUUGGUGUGGACUCUUGAGUGAUGAAGUGAAUGGAACCUGUUAUAUAUGAAUAAAGAGAGCUCCUCUUGUAACUAAAAUGAAGGGUUAGAUCCAAUAUGAAAAACAAAGACCUAAUGAAGAAAUUAUUAUUUUUAAGUAAAGAAAUACAAUUAAGAUUGUGUAGAAAGUAUAUCGUUCCAAUCAAUUGACUCAUAUUGUUUCUAGGGAUAGUAUAUUAUAGGGCUGUUCACUUUUGCUACAAGGUCACAAUCAUCUACUGCCAUUAGAACUGAAAUUAGGCUGUGUAUGGCACAGAGCUCAUGAAAAUUUUUUUCCUCGACUUUCAAGUCUAUCAUUUGCACACCCCCAGCCUCCUUAUUCCAGAUCUAAUGUCUCCGGAUGAUAAUAAUCUUCUUUUAGAAUGAAUAAACGAUCUUACUGUAUACUUUUCAAGGAUUUGCUGAGCAUCAACGUGAAAUGGAACAAAGAAAUUUGGAGCAUAAAAUUUUGCAAUUUUAUUGGGAAUACAACACUUCAUUAUUUCCCAAGAACAAUAACAAAAGUUUGAAUUACAAAGUGAGGAUUACGCCUCUUCGUUACAAAAAAAAUGACCCCAAAAAAAAAAAAUCCCUUUGAGCCAAAAUUAAUUUAGACAAGUAAACUAUUAGAGUCUAAAAUUUUGCCCUUGAAGUAUUAAUGAUUCAUUAGAAAAGGACAAGGUGAUUAACUCGUUUCCAGGGCUAGUAACCAGCCGGGCCAAGGCGGUGCUAGCCCUGGACCUAGCUCGGCCCUGUUCCCCUAAGGGCCAGACCAGGUUCAAUCAGUAAAGAGAUAAGGGCUGACUGGGCCGUCCAUAUAUUGGCCAUAGCCCAGCCCUCAUGCUAUAUUUUGUGGCCUAUGCCCAAGUUUUUUAGUGCCGGCGGCCUGGCCCGUUGGUAUCCAUACUCCUUUUAAGAAAAUGACCUGUCUAAUAUUUAUUUGAGCACCAUUACCUCAAACUCAUAAAUUUGUUUUAAGAGGUAUAGAACUUACGAUGGAGUAUACAUGAUGUAGUUGAGGAAGGGAAAAUGUUGAAAGAGGCACUUUGGGAUGAACUCGUAGUUGCAAUGCCCCAUAUUAUUCAUGAAAUCGAUAUAUGUAAUAUAGGCAACCAAGGAAAUAAUAGAGGCGGUCCUUGUGUAGAGCGUUGUUAAAAGUGCUAUUGCAAACAGGAAGGAGUAUAAGAUAUGUUCUGCGAAGGGAUGCACCACCGCUGCUCAAACAAACAUCAAGCAUUAGUCUAUAUGCAUUCAUGCGAGUGCCAAAUUCAUGCUCCUAAGGGAGCGCACUGUACGAAUGUUACAUAACUUUCCGGAGUCUUUUCGGACAUACGGUUAUUAUUGUUUAGGCACAUACCGGCUAUUUCAUUCUUUGUCGCAAGGUAGUGGAAGUCGAAGGGCUCUACCAAAUUGAGUGAGGUGAUUUUGGAGAGAGAGAGAGAGAGAGAGAGAGAACUUACAUG